CAGGCUUAACACAUGCAAGUCGAGGGGCAGCAUGGUCUUAUCUUGCUAAGGCCGAUGGCGACCGGCGCACGGGUGAGUAACACGUAUCCAACCUGCCGUCUACUCUUGGACAGCCUUCUGAAAGGAAGAUUAAUACAAGAUGGCAUCAUGAGUCCGCAUGUUCACAUGAUUAAAGGUAUUCCGGUAGACGAUGGGGAUGCGUUCCAUUAGAUAGUAGGCGGGGUAACGGCCCACCUAGUCUUCGAUGGAUAGGGGUUCUGAGAGGAAGGUCCCCCACAUUGGAACUGAGACACGGUCCAAACUCCUACGGGAGGCAGCAGUGAGGAAUAUUGGUCAAUGGGCGAGAGCCUGAACCAGCCAAGUAGCGUGAAGGAUGACUGCCCUAUGGGUUGUAAACUUCUUUUAUAAAGGAAUAAAGUCGGGUAUGGAUACCCGUUUGCAUGUACUUUAUGAAUAAGGAUCGGCUAACUCCGUGCCAGCAGCCGCGGUAAUACGGAGGAUCCGAGCGUUAUCCGGAUUUAUUGGGUUUAAAGGGAGCGUAGAUGGAUGUUUAAGUCAGUUGUGAAAGUUUGCGGCUCAACCGUAAAAUUGCAGUUGAUACUGGAUAUCUUGAGUGCAGUUGAGGCAGGCGGAAUUCGUGGUGUAGCGGUGAAAUGCUUAGAUAUCACGAAGAACUCCGAUUGCGAAGGCAGCCUGCUAAGCUGCAACUGACAUUGAGGCUCGAAAGUGUGGGUAUCAAACAGGAUUAGAUACCCUGGUAGUCCACACGGUAAACGAUGAAUACUCGCUGUUUGCGAUAUACUGCAAGCGGCCAAGCGAAAGCGUUAAGUAUUCCACCUGGGGAGUACGCCGGCAACGGUGAAACUCAAAGGAAUUGACGGGGGCCCGCACAAGCGGAGGAACAUGUGGUUUAAUUCGAUGAUACGCGAGGAACCUUACCCGGGCUUAAAUUGCAGAUGAAUUACGGUGAAAGCCGUAAGCCGCAAGGCAUCUGUGAAGGUGCUGCAUGGUUGUCGUCAGCUCGUGCCGUGAGGUGUCGGCUUAAGUGCCAUAACGAGCGCAACCCUUGUUGUCAGUUACUAACAGGUUCCGCUGAGGACUCUGACAAGACUGCCAUCGUAAGAUGUGAGGAAGGUGGGGAUGACGUCAAAUCAGCACGGCCCUUACGUCCGGGGCUACACACGUGUUACAAUGGGGGGUACAGAGGGCCGCUACCACGCGAGUGGAUGCCAAUCCCCAAAACCUCUCUCAGUUCGGACUGGAGUCUGCAACCCGACUCCACGAAGCUGGAUUCGCUAGUAAUCGCGCGUCAGCCACGGCGCGGUGAAUACGUUCCCGGGCCUUGUACACACCGCCCGUCAAGCCAUGGGAGCCGGGGGUACCUGAAGUGCGUAACCGCGAGGAGCGCCCUAGGGUAAAACUGGUGACUGG
rnacentral:rRNA from 1 species